rnacentral:tRNA from 2 species
GGCGGAUGUAGCCAAGUGGAUCAAGGCAGUGGAUUNGUGAAUC